rnacentral:rRNA from 1 species
GACGUAGGGUGCGAGCGUUGUCCGGAUUUAUUGGGCGUAAAGAGCUCGUAGGCGGCUCGUCGCGUCAGCUGUGAAAACCCGCAGCUUAACUGUGGGCUUGCAGCUGAUACGGGCGGGCUAGAGUUCGGUAGGGGAGACUGGAAUUCCUGGUGUAGCGGUGAAAUGCGCAGAUAUCAGGAGGAACACCGGUGGCGAAGGCGGGUCUCUGGGCCGAUACUGACGCUGAGACGCGAAAGCGUGGGGAGCGAACAGG